UGCCAGCCGCCGCGGUAAUACGGAGGGUCCAAGCGUUAUCCGGAAUCAUUGGGUUUAAAGGGUCCGCAGGCGGGCAAUUAAGUCAGAGGUGAAAUCCCAUAGCUCAACUAUGGAACUGCCUUUGAUACUGGUUGUCUUGAGUUAUACGGAAGUAGAUAGAAUAUGUGGUGUAGCGGUGAAAUGCAUAGAUAUCACAUAGAAUACCGAUUGCGAAGGCAGUCUACUACGUAUAUACUGACGCUCAUGGACGAAAGCGUGGGGAGCGAACAGGAUUAGAUA
rnacentral:rRNA from 1 species